GGGGGUAUAGUUCAGCGGCAGAAUUUUCGUCUCCAAAACGAAAGACCUAGGUUCGAGUCCUAGUACCCCCGCAA
rnacentral:tRNA from 1 species